UGACCUUAGUAACGGCGAGUGAAGCGGCAACAGCUCAAAUUUGAAAUCUGGCCUUCGGGUCCGAGUUGUAAUUUGCAGAGGAUGCUUUUGGCGCGGCGCCUUCCGAGUUCCUUGGAACAGGACGCCUUAGAGGGUGAGAGCCCCGUACGGUUGGACGCUAAGCCUCUGUAUAGCUCCUUCGACGAGUCGAGUAGUUUGGGAAUGCUGCUCUAAAUGGGAGGUAAAUUUCUCCUAAAGCUAAAUACCGGCCAGAGACCGAUAGCGCACAAGUAGAGUGAUCGAAAGAUGAAAAGUACUUUGAAAAGAGGGUUAAAUAGCACGUGAAAUUGUUGAAAGGGAAGCGUUUGUGACCAGACCUCUGCUGGGCGGAUCAUCCGGUGUUCCUCACCGGUGCACUUCGCCCAGCUCAGGCCAGCAUCGGUUCCCGCAGGGGGAUAAAGACCGUGGGAACGUAGCUCUCUUCGGGGAGUGUUAUAGCCCUAGGUGUAAUACCCUUGCGGGGACCGAGGUUCGCGCUCCGGCAAGGAUGCUGGCGUAAUGGUCAUCAACGACCCGUCUUGAAACACGGACCAAGGAGUCGAACAUUUAUGCGAGUGUUUGGGUGUUAAACCCUCACGCGUAAUGAAAGUGAACGGAGGUGAGAGCCCCUCCAAGGGCGCAUCAUCGACCGAUCCUGAUGUCUUCGGAUGGAUUUGAGUAAGAGCAUAGCUGUUCGGACCCGAAAGAUGGUGAACUAUGCGUGGAUAGGGUGAAGCCAGAGGAAACUCUGGUGGAGGCUCGCAGCGGUUCUGACGUGCAAAUCGAUCGUCAAAUCUGCGCAUGGGGGCGAAAG
rnacentral:rRNA from 1 species